rnacentral:rRNA from 1 species
AUUGAACGCUGGCGGCAUGCCUUACACAUGCAAGUCAAACGGCAGCACGGGUGCUUGCACCUGGUGGCGAGUGGCGAACGGGUGAGUAAUACAUCGGAACGUACCUUAUCGUGGGGGAUAACGCAGCGAAAGCUGUGCUAAUACCGCAUACGCCCUGAGGGGGAAAGCGGGGGAUCGAAAGACCUCGCGCGAUUAGAGCGGCCGAUGCCUGAUUAGCUUGUUGGUGGGGUAAAAGCCCACCAAGGCGACGAUCAGUAGCUGGUCUGAGAGGACGAUCAGCCACACUGGGACUGAGACACGGCCCAGACUCCUACGGGAGGCAGCAGUGGGGAAUUUUGGACAAUGGGGGCAACCCUGAUCCAGCAAUGCCGCGUGAGUGUAGAAGGCCUUCGGGUUGUAAAGCUCUUUUGUCAGGGAAGAAACACCGGCUCUAACACAGUCCGGGAAUGACGGUACCUGAAGAAUAAGCACCGGCUAACUACGUGCCAGCCGCCGCGGUAA